UGUUCCUAGCUAUGCCCCAAGCACUUCAUCCAAUGCUUGCUGAGGUGGUUCUCCGCCGUGAAUCGAAUGCUAGCUGAGGGCUAAUGUAGUUUCUCACAGUAUCUCCAAGUUCCAGGGACAUGGAAGAGGCAAAGAAUGCUAAAUAACACAGCAGUGGCUCCCGUAACGCAGCAGAAUUCUCGUUGGCGCGUGCGGACCUGGCAGGAUUGCGCUGCCACGGGAGGAUCCAAACUUCCCUUGAGAUGCUGGGGGAAGGACUGCAAACUGGCUGCCUGGGAGAUGGUCUUGUGCCUUUGGGAAGGUAGAACUUCAUGUCUACACACCUUGUUUGGCGUUGAACAGUGGUGGCACAGUGUUACAGGCUACCUUGUUUGGAAGGGAAAAUAACAUUCUGAGGAAACCAAAUACAGAAACUAAUGGGAAGCAGGGGCUGUGCUCUGGUCCUUUCUGU